rnacentral:rRNA from 1 species
CCUACGGGAGGCAGCAGUAGGGAAUCUUCCACAAUGGGCGAAAGCCUGAUGGAGCAACGCCGCGUGGGUGAAGAAGGUCUUCGGAUCGUAAAACCCUGUUGUUAGAGACGAAAGUGCGUGCGAGUAACUGUUCACGUUUCGACGGCAUCUAACCAGAAAGCCACGGCUAACUACGUGCCAGCCGCCGCGGUAAUACGUAGGUGGCAAGCGUUAUCCGGAUUUAUUGGGCGUAAAGGGAACGCAGGCGGUCUUUUAAGUCUGAUGUGAAAGCCUUCGGCUUAACCGGAGUAGUGCAUUGGAAACUGGGAGACUUGAGUGCAGAAGAGGAGAGUGGAACUCCAUGUGUAGCGGUGAAAUGCGUAGAUAUAUGGAAGAACACCAGUGGCGAAAGCGGCUCUCGGGUCUGUAACUGACGCUGAGGUUCGAAAGCGUGGGUAGCAAACAGGAUUAGAUACCCUAGUAGUC